AUAAAUGUUUAAAGACAGUGCAUAGAUCUUGUGGAAGUGAUAUGUGAAUCAGUGUGAGGAUGGAUUGAAUACUACAGAAUAUAGCAGCAGAUCUUCAGCUGAUGUGCACUGGUGUAGCAGCAUUUCUGCAUUGCCAACUAGUGCAAUUUUGUCACAAGUCUGCAAGAGAGAAUGGGCUUUAUCUAGCAGUAACCCAUCUGAAGCUGGAAGACGGGAAAGAGAUGACGGAGGGCUAGACUUAAGAAGAUGCCAUAGUGGAAGUCAGACCACAGAUCCUCCUUCCCUACAAGAAGAUUAAAAAAUAGGGCUGGUCAAAAAUAUUCUGUCAACACUGUUUGGGGGUUUGAGUAAAAUGAAAAUUUUUUUUCCAGGGAAAACUUCAGUAAUUCAUCAAAAUCUUGAAAACUGAAAUAUUUUUAUUCAAAAUGGUGGGAAUUGUAAUGCAGAUGCCUUUUGCUUCCAUCCUCCCCCAAGCUUCAGCAUUUCUGGCCAGACUAAAACUCCCAUGAUUCAGCCAGGGUCUCAUAUAAUGUACCUCCCCCCUUCACCAAUAGGGGAGAAAGUGGUGCAUCCUGGAAGGUAUAGUUUGACAAGCGAGCUAGGCCCUUAGAGAUCAAUGGCAGCAUAAGGUACCUGAACUACAAUUCCCAUGAGGCAUGGCAGCAUCAGUUUGAAUUGAAACACCACUUUUUGGACAAAACAUUUUGCCCAAAAGUCAAAUUUUUCUGUGGGGGAAAAAAAUGCUGCUUUCCAACCAACUGAAAGAAAGAAAGAAAGAAAGAAAGAAAGAAAGAAAGAAAGAAAGAAAGAAAGAAAGAUUUCUGGGACCUGAGUAAGGCUGGGAUGGCUCAGGAGCAUGCUGCAGGUGACACACACUGGGCUCUCCAUUGAAGUUUGGGUUCUGUAAAACCCUCUGUACAAAUAAUCAUUGGAGCAAGGACUUGAAUUUGGGUCUCUUAUAUCCCAGGUGAAUGCUCUAACAACCUGCCUAGAGAGUCAUUCUCACUCUGGUGCCGUGACUGUUCAAAUAUUUUAUACAAAAUGGAAAAGCUUCAGCAGGAGAGACUGAGAGCAACCGACCUCGGAAUACUGUAUAGCCCACUGGUGAGGGCAUUCACCUCAGAGGGAAGAGAGAUGCUCCUGAGCAAGGAUUCAAACCUACCUCUCCCACAUCCCAAAUGAGUGUCCUAGCCCCCGGGCUAGUGAAUAUAAGGGGUGACAGCAGUGCCACCACAAACCGAACCAUUUAUUUCCUUUGUUUUUAUUUUUUUCUUAAGGGUUACAAAAUCCCAGAAACAAAAUGUUUCAUUUGAUCCAAAACAAAUUUUUGGUAAGUUUUUAGAUUUGCUGAAAAUUAAAAAAAAAAAAUGGUUUGAACGACUCUCCAAACCCAAACUAGCAAACUGAAAAAUCAAAGUUAUUUGCCCAGCUCAAAUGUUCUCCCCCAGCCUUCCACACUCAGAAAGGGGGGAGCCAUAUCUUGAGCUAACCAGAGCUUUCAAGUGUCAUUAGCAGCUAGUCCCAGUUCUAGUCGAUUGCAAUACCCAAGCACAGUCAUACUCUGGUUAAGUAGCAAAUAGGAAUAUUAUGCAAAAUUUUAUACACUCAUAUGGUACAUACACACACAAUCCAGUAGUGCUUUUACUAAUUCUGUGCAUAUACAAAAGUCAAGCAACUGCCGCUUAUAGAAUACGUGAGUGUCAUAUUUUACUGCCAUUUUCAUGGUGGUCUGUCCUUUUUACAUUGAUUAUCCCUCAUUUUAUGGUAGCAAAAGUCACUUCAAACUUUGAAUCUUCCCUGAGGAAUGUUAACACUUAUUACGAGUACAUGACCCAACCAGUAUUAUUAUAAAACACCUGGAAAAUGGUACAUUGGAGUAUUAUUUAAUAUACUCUAGGGCACUUACAGGGCAUGACUGCAUGUGGAAUUUCAUGCUGACUUGCAAGCUUAUUAUCUCUCUGAAAGUACUAGGUGCUUUAUUGAAGGAUGUGCUGAGACUAAAUUACCUGAUCGAUGCAGAUUUCUGCAAGUCCCUGUUCCCCCAAAUAUUUGAUUUACCCAUGGUAAAUGCAGACUUCUCCAAGAGGCUACUGUGUUUUCAUUUCACUCCUAGAAAUAUGGAAAUUAUUGCUUAGUACUCUGCUCCACAAACUGUUAACCUGACUAAAACAAAGCUCUCCAAUGAAAUGAAAAAUCAUGUAGAUUACAAAAGGGAGAUGAUUCCACUAAUUGGUAUUAAAUGGACAUAGCUUUAACAAGCUAUUCAAUUCAAAUUCACUGGUAAAUCUAUACAGUUACCAUUCAACAAUACAUGAAAACAAAAGCAAAAUAUGUAUAGCAAAUUCAGCAGAACUUAACUUACUACGUAUCACGAGUUAAACAUUUUUCUAUGUACAUAUAAUAUAUGUAUAAAUUAUAAUAUAUAAAUGUAUAUUAUAUGCCUCUCGAAAAGCCUAGAUAUUACAUAGGUAGGUAGACAGAAACUAACAAAAGAGAGACAAUGUAAAUUUUGUUCAACAAUGCUGCGCACAUGCGUUCGCUGAGUAAACACUUUUCUUUCCUCUGUUGUUUUGCAGUCUCCUGUUUUGCUGUGUCUUUUAUUGCAUCAUGUGUGAAAUUAGAUUGCAAUUCUUUGAGGAACAGACCAUUUUUGCAUUACGGACUCAGUUCUGCAAAGUGCUGAGCAUUCUGGCUGGAACUGGGUGGCAAACAAUUGUUAUGUUGCAUGAGAGUUUAAGAUUUCAAACAUUUUCCCUUCCAAAAUCUGGACAAAAAGUCAAAGUUUCGAAAAUUUCUUCAAAAGGAUGAUCCAAAAAAAAAUGGAUUGGAUCAAUUGAAAUAUGUUAUUGUGUUGACUAUUUUAAAAGUCGAAUAAAAUUUUAAUUACAAAUCAAUACAGGGUGAGUUAAAGGCAUUUUUACUCUGAGGGCUAUGAUUUGAUGUGUUUAACCCACAGCGUUAUUUUAAAGUAGAUUUGCAUGUGAGGAAAUAAUGUGCAUGUUACCAAUGAUGCUUUUUAUCAGAGGCAACUAAAUUUUCACCCUACAGGGAAUGUCAGUGUGAAAUUGCCAGACCAGCAGCAAUAACCA